UGUUACCAGUAAACCCCUGCAUCUGAGAUUAAUUCCUUGAGUGGAAUCAGCUGUAAGCAAUCUGCGGUCAGCAUUCCCAACCCCUGAGAGUAAAAUCGUGAGAUCUCAGCUUUGGUCUUGUGAGCUAGGUCUGGACAGGACAAUCUAGGAAUCACUUAAAACUCUUACAUAUUAAGACAGUUUAUGGGCAGUUUCACCACUUUUUACUUUUAUUUGCAUAAAAAAAAGUCAGACAUGGGAUUUUUAAAAAAUAAUGUGCCUUGAAAGAACCUGAAAAUCAUGUCAAGUUCAAGAUAUUCAACUUUCAGAUUAAGAGUAGGAGGUGAAGGAGAUGUCACAGGCUGAGGAAUAUCUCUGUUAGCUCUAAGGUAUGCUGCCUUGGAACAUAAAGAAGGCUGAACACCAACGAACUAAUGCUUUUAAAUUGUGGUGCUGGAGAAGAAUUUUGAGUCUCUUACACUGCAAAGAGAUCAAACCAGUCAAUCUUAAAGGAAAUCAACACUGAAUAUUCACUGGAAGAACUGUUGCUGAAGCUGAAGCUCCAAUACUUUGGUCACCUGAUGUGAAGAGCCAACUUAUUUGAAAAGACCCUGCUGGGAAAGGGAGAAGACAAAAGGGAAAGGCAGAAGCAAAAGAUAAGAUGGUUAGAUAGAAUCACCAACUCAGUAGACAUGAAUUUGAGCAAACUCUGGGAGAUAGUGGAGGACAAGAGGAGCCUGGUGUGCAAUAGUCCAUGGUGUCGCAAAGAGUCAGACAUGAUUUAGUGACUGAAAAACAGCAACAACAAAUGCUGCUUUGGAUAAGGUGAGAUGCAGGGGUUCCUGGGACCACAGCCAAGAGGAGCUCGGUCUGGCUCAUGGUCCACAGCCAGGAUUGAGGUCUAUCUGCCAUGUCACCUGCCAUGUGGGUGGAUGACACCGCUUCCAGGUUCCUUUGCCUGUAUCUCUGAUUCUCAAAUCUCCCUCAGAGGUACUUUUAUCCAUGGAUUGAUGCUGAAUUUUUACCGUUGGGUUAGGGGAAAGCAUGGGAGAUACUACCAUGAUGCUGCUAUCACCCACCAAUACAUUGCAUUUUCAUUUUCAUUUAGUAUAAAAUGGUUUUAAAUUUGUCUUGAAAUUUCUUACUUGGCUUCAUAUGUUAUUUAAAGGUAUGUUGUUUGAUUGCCCAUAUUUUGGAAUUAUCCAGUUGUCUUUUUGUUAUUGAUUUCUAGUUUAACUCCACUGUAGUCUAAAAGCAGGUUUUGUUUAUGAUGAUUUCUAUGCUUUUAAAGAUGUUUUAUGACCCAGAAUGUGGUCUAUCUUGAUGAGUGUUUUAUGGGGGCUUGCAAAAAAAAAAAAAAAAUGUGUAUUCUGCUGUUUUGGCUGAAGUAAUUUAUAGAUAUCAAUUAUAUUGUUGAUUUAUGGUACUGUUAUAGUUAACUCUAUCCUUACUGUUUUUCCUCCUGCCUGGUCUGUCCAUUUCUGAUGGAGGGUUGUUGAAGACUUCAACUCUUCAACUGUAACAGUAGAUUCAUUUAUUUCUCCUUGUAGUUCUAUCAGUUUUUGCCUCAUAGAGUUUGAUACUGUCAUUGGGUGGAUACACAUUAAGAAUUGUUAUGUCAUCUUAGAAUGCCCUUUUUAUCUCCAGUAACUUUCCUUUGGUGUCUGUUCUAUAGUACAUACUGUUUUCACAUGAUCAUGUUUACAGGAAAGAACGACUUGGGAAAGGUUUGAGUUGCAUUUCUUUUUAACCCCUGUUUGUUGAUUUCACUCGUUAUCAAAUGAGUACUAAGAUCUGAAAGCUGAAGGCUCUGACAAGUGUUUUUUAACUGGUUUUCUGUUUGAAUAUAGCAGGAUUACUGAGUGUUAAAAAAAUGAACAGACCAUGUCAUGUGACUCUAAUUACUGAUGUUUUUCACCUCUCUUUUUGUUUCUUUCCCUUCCCUUCAUUCCAAAAUAAUUGUAUAGAUAUAACACAGAAUGGGAAUACAAAAUGACAGUCUAUCAAAAAUAGAAGUAAUGAACAUUAAUUACUCUAAAGUGGGAAGAAAAAAGAAAGUGUCUUAAAUGAAACACAAAAAUUCUAUAGAGCUUCUAUCAGAAGGGAGAGGAGAGUAAAGAACUCAAUGCAAAUGCUAUGUCAUGUUGAAAAAUAUCGUCCUUUUGGGCAAGGUAAUCAGUUUAGAACUUUAAAUACAUAUUCAAAACCAAUAUCAAGUUCAGAUUAAUUAUGUUAAUUUGAUAGGUAAUUCUCUUUGAUAAGUAUUAUUUUCCUGAGGGUAAUCAUGUAAUUACAUCUUUUUUGUCUUUCUUGGCUAGUUACCCAGGACACUCAUGUAACAUUCUUUAUCCUAAACUUGAUAUAAUUUGAUAAUCUUAUAUUUAAUCUAAUCUAUAGUUUUUUUUUAAUGUGUUAAGAUUUUUCUUUGUGUUUAUGUGCAUUCUAUUUGAUAUUGAGCUUAAUUUUCAGACGCCAUUUAGCAUAUGCAGUUUGGAUGUUAAUUCCACUUCCAGUGGUGAGUUAUAGUUAAUAUAAGCCAAUCGUUCUCAGUUCCAGCUACAAAUUAAAAUCACCUGAGGGAUCUCUACCCAUGACACAUACCUGAGCACCACUCAAAUGGAUAAGGCCUGAUUAUUGGGAUAUUGUUUUAAAAACUCCAUAGUUGCGUCAAAAGUGCAGGCAGAGUUGAGGACAGUCAACCUCAAGAAACUAUUACUCUCAUCCUCCUCUGACUCAGGCUCUCAAACCUAAGUCCUUAGUGACAGCAUUGACCUGAACCACAGAGACAGGUCAUGGAUAGACACAUGAUCUGUUUCAAAACAUGGAAUCAGAGAGGAAUUUGCUUUGUAUUUUUGUAAGAAUUCCUCACUGUAAAGAGAAAGCCAUUGAAAUAUUUGGUCCCUAAUGUCUAUGAAGGCUUAAUGUCAUGUCUAAGUUUCCUAAUGUCUAAGGACUUCCCUGGUGACUCAGAUGGUAGAGAAUCUGCCUCUAGUGCAGGAGACCAGGGUUCGAUCCCUGGGCCGGGAAGACCUCCUGGAGAAGGGAAUGACAACCCACUCUAAUAUUGUU